GAUGAGAAUGAACCUCUCGCUUUUAUCUAUCAAUCCUUGGACAAGUUCUAGGUAGCUAAUCUAGAAACAUGCAUUAAUGAACAAUCCUAAUGACAAUUACCAUAACUCAGCAAUCUAUAGUUGGGGCUAAUCCGUCAUAACCUAUUUUAACCCAAGCAAUUCAUGAAAGGAAUUAGGUUAGAAAACUUCAUAGAAUAGUAAUAUAGAUAUUAAUGGAGUUCCAAUCACAAAUUAUAACUUUGGAUUUUCUCUCCAAUCUAUCACAAUCCUAAAACCUUUUGCUGAAAGUAAUAAAACUAAAAACACAGAAAAUUACACUUUGCCUCUAACAUGGUGGCAAAAGCUUUUACAGUGGUAAUCUUGUAAAUUGGUGAAGACUUGGGCUUCAAGUUGGCUGUGACCAAACGGGCUUUCUGCGCGCUUCGCUGUCGAUCGAUGUUCACUAGAUCAGCUCUUGUCAACGGGCUUUCUGCGCGCUUCGCUGCGCGAAUCCUCCUCCAAUAUCGACCGAUGGUCGAGCUCGAUGGUCAUCUCGGGUGCUUGCUCUAAAUAUCUCCAAAAUGCUCCAAAAUCAUCACUUAUCUCCAAAU
rnacentral:lncRNA from 1 species